AAGGGCUGGUGUAUCAUCCCCAAU
rnacentral:siRNA from 1 species